GGGGGGGGCUAGGAUGAAAAAUGUUGUCCUGCAUUUUUUUUUAGUUGUGAUCUCUGUCCUGCCUUUUUAUUUUGCAUUCUAGUAAGUCCUGCCUUUUUUUUUUUAGUUUAUCCUGACUUUUUUUUACCUAAAUUGUCAUCCUGACUUUUUUUUUUUGCAAGUGUCUCAUCCUGCCUUUUUUUUUUACUCAAAAUUCCUGUCCUGCCUAUUUUUUUCAAAUUUCAUCCUAGCCCCCCAAUAAAAAUCAAAUGGUAGCUCCCUAAGUCAUACAUAUUU
rnacentral:lncRNA from 1 species